GAUUAACGCUAGCGACAGGCCUAACACAUGCAAGUCGAGGGGCAUCAGAGUGUAGUAAUACACAGCUGGCGACCGGCGCACGGGUGAGUAACGCGUAUGCAACCUGCCUACUACAGGGGGAUAGCCCUAAGAAAUUGGGAUUAAUACCGCAUAAAACAGGGGAACCGCAUGGUUAUAUUUGUUAAAUGAUGAGAAUUGGUAGUAGAUGGGCAUGCGUUCCAUUAGCUAGUUGGGGAGGUAACGGCUCACCAAGGCGACGAUGGAUAGGGGCACUGAGAGGUUUGUCCCCCACACUGGGACUGAGACACGGCCCAGACUCCUACGGGAGGCAGCAGUGAGGAAUAUUGGUCAAUGGGCGAGAGCCUGAACCAGCCAAGUCGCGUGAAGGAAGACGGUUCUAUGGAUUGUAAACUUCUUUUUCAUGGGAGUAAAGAGCGCCACGCGUGGCGUUUAGCAAGUACCAUGAGAAUAAGCAUCGGCUAACUCCGUGCCAGCAGCCGCGGUAAUACGGAGGAUGCGAGCGUUGUCCGGAUUUAUUGGGUUUAAAGGGUGCGUAGGCGGGGACUUAAGUCAGCGGUGAAAUGCACAGGCUCAACCUGUGAACUGCCGUUGAAACUGGGUUUCUUGAGAAUAGAUGAAGCAGGCGGAAUUAGUGGUGUAGCGGUGAAAUGCAUAGAUAUCACUAGGAACUCCGAAAGCGCAGGCAGCUUGCUAAGCUAUGACUGACGCUGAAGCACGAAAGUGUGGUUAUCGAACAGGAUUAGAUACCCUGGUAGUCCACACAGUAAACGAUGAUUACUAGUUGUUAGCGAUAUACCGUUAGUAACCAAGCGAAAGCGAUAAGUAAUCCACCUGGGGAGUACGCCGGCAACGGUGAAACUCAAAGGAAUUGACGGGGGCCCGCACAAGCGGAGGAACAUGUGGUUUAAUUCGAUGAUACGCGAGGAACCUUACCCGGGCUUGAAAUGCUUCUGACAGGAUUGGAAACAAUCUUUCUAGCAAUAGCAGAAGUGUAGGUGCUGCAUGGUUGUCGUCAGCUCGUGCCGUGAGGUGUCGGCUUAAGUGCCAUAACGAGCGCAACCCACAUCGGAAGUUACUAACAGGUGAUGCUGAGGACUCUGCCGAGACUGCCAGCGUAAGCUGCGAGGAAGGUGUGGAUGACGUCAAAUCAGCACGGCCCUUACGUCCGGGGCGACACACGUGUUACAAUGGCCGGUACAGCGGGUAGCCAUCAGGCAACUGAGCGCCAAUCCCGAAAACCGGUCCCAGUUCGGAUUGGAGUCUGCAACUCGACUCCAUGAAGCUGGAUUCGCUAGUAAUCGCGCAUCAGCCAUGGCGCGGUGAAUACGUUCCCGGGCCUUGUACACACCGCCCGUCAAGCCAUGGGAGCUGGGGGUACCUGAAAUACGUAACCGCAAGGAGCGUCCAAGGGUAAUACCGGUGACUGGGGC
rnacentral:rRNA from 1 species